GGCAGGUUAGCUCAGUCGGUAGAGCAGGGGACUGAAAAUCCCCGUGUCCCCAGUUCGAUUCUGGGACCGGCCACCA
rnacentral:tRNA from 2 species